CACAGAAGAGAGCGGGCUGCUUGUUCAUGUAAAGGCGGAAGGGCAGAAAAGUCCCUUUAACUCAGACAGAUCACAGCUGUUUUGAGAGAUCAAUCUCUCCGGGAUGAAGGAUGCCUGGAUCAAGACCAUCUAUGACCAUCAGGUGGUGCCUGACUCCUAGUGCAGGAGUGGAGCAGUCUUCUUUUUCUUUCACAUGACCCAUGAUGUAAGAAGAUAUGGCCUGCCUCCUUGCUCUGUUCUCCACCCAGAUUUAGGCCAAUAUAGUCCAAAGAGAUCUGGAUCGCCUGGACAUCCCAUAGAACAUCAGGCUGAUGGAUUACACUGGUGACAUCAUGGUGAUCAGACAGAUGAGCAAGAGGUGGCCAGCACACCUGCUAAA